rnacentral:sRNA from 1 species
CACACUGUCCUUCUGUUAUGGCAACUCUCCCUUUCACGCCAUCUAAUUUUGUGUGUGGAAACAGCUAGAGAGACUUGUCUUUACUGGCAAAUAGGCGGGCCAUGGUGUGAUGAAGUGGAGCCUGCCCCGGGCACCACGGUAUCUGUGUGACGGAGCUGGUGAUUUGGAAGCCGUUGGUUUGUAUUUGGUCUGGGGCUGCCUUCCACCUUGUCAGGCCUCGUCUGGGCUGAUUGAGGCUAGUCAUAUGGAUGUGUGUAACAGAAGAGCAGAAGAGAUGGGUGGAGCCAAGGGGGAAGCUGUGUCCUUUGUCUGUGGCCUAGGGGUCUGCUGGGUAGUUCAGGGUGAAGGCAUCAGCACAUUCUUGGGAUAAAAUUCCUGUAAUAAAAUUGGAGGCCUGUUUUCUGCCCUGCACUUUCACUGCCUGUCCCUCCCGCGGUCCCCAACAUGAUAAGGCUAGCUUACAUUUGUGGCUUCUGUAGUUCUUCCUUAAGAUGUUUUUCUCUUGACUUUUUUAAAGCUUUGAUACUCUAUUCUUUUUGUUGGAUUUCCUAAUUGUAGUACCUUUAUUCCUAUCCAUAACUAUAGUAGGGUGACUUCAAAAAAAGACCAAUAGUUUUUUGUGUUGAAGCCUUGCUGUUUGAAAGGUGGGGUUUUUUGGUUUUGCUUUUAAAGUCAGAUGUGCCGAUGCUGACCCUCAGAUGAUGAGAGCACUUUUAAAACAAGAUGGCAGGCUGGAAUUUGAGUUUCAUCUUGAGAAUAUCCGAGCAGGUGUAGAUUUCUUCUGGGGCUCCUGGCCCAUGACCUGAGCCCUGUGUGCGCCCACCCUGUCUCUGUGAGGGCUACUGGCUGGGCCUUCUGCAGAGCGUGGACAUGGAUGGCUGCCUCUGCAGUCACGUGCUGCACGCCCACCUCCCUGAUGAUAGGGACGUCCUCAUACGGGUCUUGCCUGCUUGGAACCUCGUGGGUCCCUCAUGUCUCUGCAGGGAGGAUCUGCUCUGUAUCCACAGGGGAAAGUGUUCUGGAGCUUCUGUCUCAAUGAUAGGAAAGAUCGCUGCCCCACCCAAACCCCUUUUAGGUUUUCCAGGCCUUGACACAUGGCUUUGGCCGGAUGUUUUUGUGUAUGUUGCAUUUAAAAGAGUUUGAAAGUGGUCAUUUACUUUUCUUUUUAGGGGCCCAAGACCCUGGCAUGUUAUUGUUUUAAUGUCAAAACCCAACUUUAGAAAUAAAUUAGCCAAUCAUAUUAUUUAUUAGACUGAGAAUAGAGACAGGGCAGCUGGGGAGUAUGGAAGAAGCUUGGUUCUCUUCCUGAACAACUGCACAGAUGAUAGUAAUUGGAAUCGUGUUGCUGGCUCAUUUUCAUUGUUUUUCAAGUACUGCCAAGUCCAAGAAAAUGUAUGAAAACUAAAUUAUAUCCCCCUACAUCCCAUGUCUGAUUGAAUCCUCCUCAUCGGGUGGCGGUCUCCUACAUCCUAUUAAAAUAUUCAAUCUUGUUUUCUUACUUGAAGAGCCUGUCUGCAAAGGGCAAACUUACAGAACACUCAUUCCCUGGAGACGGGUGUCCAGCCGCACUGGACCAUUUCCAUAUUUUACUGUUUGGUUGGGUUUCUUCCUUCUGUUGUAUUUGUGAGUAAGAGCUGUGGGAUGCAUGUUUAAUUACAUGGCUGUGUUUUCAACAGAAAAAACAGAAUGGGGUAUUUUCCAGCUUCUGUGUUCCUUUUUAACCUUGAAUAGUGAACCAGUGUGUUAACCAGUUUGCUGUGUUUGUCUUUUAGGACAGAACUGUACCGCUCUCUUUUUGGCCAGCUCCACCCUCCCAACGAAGGCCACGGGGAUUGACAUCGCCCACCUCCGACACCCAGUGGGCGCCUUGGCUGGUGCGGCUGCUGGUCCAGAUGGAGGAAACCAGUGACUUUAUGGGGCUGAGCUAGUAGGGAAGCCCCUGGGAAGGUGCUGCGUUCCGAACCUGUGCCUAAUACAUGCAAGGGCGCUGCCCCGCCCAACACCGCCUUUAAACGCCACAAAUAAAGAGCAUUGUUACCGCC